rfam:Thalassospira sp. TSL5-1 contig0001, whole genome shotgun sequence.
CCCUUGUGAAACAGGGGGGAAUUCCCCUAUAUAGGGACUGCCGGGGUAACCCGGUUAUGGCACUAAACUGCGUGGCAGAAUAGGCUUUACGGACCCGGGGGCGGUACCCGGCGGCUCCACCAUAUCCACACAUCGUUUAACUCGGGCGAUGAUCGUGGGGCCGAAAUAGGAUCGACGUGAGUAGUAAAAGCCAAUGUGGGUGCUCGGCAUGGUACCACCGAUAUCGGGCCAAUGUUUGUAAACGCAAACGACAACAAUGCUCCGGUUGCUGUUGCCGCCUAAGCGGUACUAGCACCAAAGCGAAAUUCCGGUUGCCGGGAGCGGUAAUCGGUGGGGGGUGAGGCACCUAGCAACAGAACGCCUCAUU